GCAUAUCAAUAAGCGGAGGAAAAGAAACUAACAAGGAUUCCCCUAGUAACGGCGAGUGAAGAGGGAAGAGCUCAAAUUUUAAAUCUAUCAUGUUGUACAUGAUCGAGUUGUAAUUUGAAGAAGCGUUUUCUCGUACUUUAUGAUCAGUAUAAGUUCUCUUGGAACAGGACAUCAUAGAGGGUGAUAAUCCCGUCUGUUACUGAUUGUGAGGUUCGUUUAUGAUACGCUUUCAAAGAGUCGAGUUGUUUGGGAAUGCAGCUCAAAAUGGGAGGUAAAUUUCUCCUAAGGCUAAAUAUUGGCGAGAGACCGAUAGCGAACAAGUACCGUGAGGGAAAGAUGAAAAGAACUUUGAAAGGAGAGUUAAAAAGUAUGUGAAAUUGUUGAAAGGGAAACGAUUGAAGUCAGUCGUGCAGUCAUCAAUUCAGCGGUUAACAUUUUAUGUUUCCGUGUAAUUUGGUGUCUGUUGGUUAGCAUCAAUUUUGAUUGUCAUAAAAAGGUUAAGGGGAUGUGGCUCCUUCGGGAGUGUUAUAACCCUUAGCGUAAUGUGACGAUUAGGAUUGAGGUUUGCAACGAAUACCUUUUAGGGCAGUUUCACCUGGCCUCUCGUGGAAUUAUAGAUAGUUAAGAGCAUGCUCUUACUGUCUAUGAUUCUACGAAAAGGUUGGAGUGUAAAACUAAUUCGUUAAGGAUGUUGACGUA
rnacentral:rRNA from 1 species